rnacentral:rRNA from 1 species
UGGGGAAUCUUGCACAAUGGGCGAAAGCCUGAUGCAGCAACGCCGCGUGUGUGAUGAAGGUCUUUGGAUCGUAAAGCACUUUCGACCGGGACGAAACCGCAUUGGCUAAUAUCCAAUGUCCUUGACGGUACCGGGAGAAGAAGCACCGGCUAACUCUGUGCCAGCAGCCGCGGUAAUACAGAGGGUGCAAGCGUUGUUCGGAAUUAUUGGGCGUAAAGCGCGUGUAGGCGGCUUUGCAAGUCGGGUGUGAAAGCCCUCAGCUCAACUGAGGAAGUGCGCCCGAAACUGCCGAGCUUGAGUACCAGAGAGGAUGGCGGAAUUCCCGAAGUAGAGGUGAAAUUCGUAGAUAUCGGGAGGAACAUCGGUGGCGAAGGCGGCCAUCUGGAUGGAUACUGACGCUGAGACGCGAAAGCGUGGGUAGCAAACAG